rnacentral:tRNA from 1 species
UGCGGGUAUGGCGGAAUUGGUAUACGCUGUGGACUUAAAAUCCAUUGUCCUUUGUGACAUGCAGGUUCGACUCCUGUUACCUGUAU